GACGCAAAGCGUCAGGAAGCAAUGAAUUGCAUUCUUGAAGCCUUUGUCCCCAAGCCCACUACCACCAAAGCCAUCACCGUCACUCACCAACCCUAGGGCGAGCUCUUUGUUCAAUGGCCCUGCAAAUGCAGUCUCUGCUCCAUUGUUGGCCGAGCAGCAAGAGAACAAAGAGUAAACAAGACAAGGUGGUGCAGUAAGCAGGGAACUAAACAGCAGAGGGAUUCAUGACACUGAGACACAGUCAACUGACCCACUCAAGUGGAAGAAGACCAUGGAGCAAAGUAGCUCUUCUUACUGUUUCUGAGAAUAUUCCUCCCUCGUCGGCCAUAGCUGUGUGAUUUCCCAUGGCUUCAUUUUGUAAUGAUAAGUUACCUGACAUGGUCAUGGUAAAGUAAAGUUGAUGAAAAAAGUCAGCUUAGGUUAGUAAAAUGUACUCCACUGUAGAACUCCAAAGUGACGUGAUAUGACGUCUCGAAGUUGAGUGGCUUCUUUUACUUGU
rnacentral:sRNA from 1 species